GGUCGCGUUCACCAGAAUAAUCCGAGUGCAAUCCGAUUAAUUUGCGCUGAAACGCUGACAGUUUUUUUACUAGUGAACGACUGACGUUUGACAUUCGAUUGAGAGUGUUCUGUGUUCCAUUUGUUUAUGUUUUUAUUCUUUGUUUAUAUAAUUUAUAACCUAAACCUAGACAGUUUUGUUUUUAUUUUAAAUAAAACUGAAACUGUCUAAACUAAAAUGGAUAAUAUUCUUGAAGAACUUUUGUUUGGGGACGAAAUUAGCAAAUGCCGUUAUACAUUUAGCAGAUGUACCUACCUCAAAUUAUUCCAGAAGGAUGAGAUGAAAUUAAAUAUAUAUAAACCAUAAUUCAAUAUCCAAUUUAGAGAACAUUUUCGUAUGUCCAGAACUACUUUCCAGGAACUAUUUAAUUGUAUUGGUCAUAUCCACCAAUUUGAAAACAGAAUAAUUCUAUUGGAAAAAAUUAAUGUUUAUGAUGUGGAUGCUAAGUAAACCAGAUAAUUUGUUGCUGGGGAUACGUUUGGUUUGCCAAAGAGCUCUGGACAUAAGAUUUUCACCCAAAUAAUAUAGAAUUACAAAAAAUUGGAAAUAACUAAUCUUGAAUAUCAAUGUGUAUAUUGAGUUUAAUUUUAUUGUAAAUAUUCUAUAAUAUAAUUUUAUUGUAAAUAUUGUAUUAACACAUUUGUGGACACAUUUUCAUAUGCAGACAGUAAUUUCCCUUUGUAAGUACAUGCAUAUAUAGUCGUAUCUGCGAAUGGGUUAAUUGUAAAUCGUAAUCAAUAAAAAAUUUUUGUGAAUCAAUAAAAAACUGGUUUGUUUGAAAAUAAAUGUAGUACAAAUGUG
rnacentral:lncRNA from 1 species